GUGUGUCACUUGCUGUGACUGUGUGGCAGCUUGCCCAUCUCCUGAGAGCCCUUGGGAAAGUGAAGGACAAUAUAUAAGGACUCCAAUCACUUAAAAGCUAAGUAUUAAGUUUUUCCUUGCCACUGCUGACCCAGGUUUGUUGCAUAGAUUGCAGACCUGGAGAUGGAUACCUUGUUCUUGGUUCAGUGCUGCACAGACUCCUCCACUGGGGGACCCUAUCCCUUGCUCCUCAUAGUCCUGAUUUCUAGGACCCAUAACCCUAUUAUAAUUAAAAUCCCAGCAUUAGCAUAGGUUCCUGGCUACAACCUUUGUCCUACUUAUUGUAUGGAAUUUGCUAAUACCUUUGCUAUCCAUUCCAACACCAGGCCUGGACAGCACCAAGCUGCCCUGCCUGCAGCUGAAAAACUUUUAACUUAAUAGUCUUUGAAGUUUUGUCAUAGAAGUGUUAAAUAGUACUCUAUACUGUAUCUGUCUUUUGAACUGUAUGUAAAAGAAGUUACAUUGAAUAUAUUUUAUAGAAAUAUGUGCACUUUUUAUCUGGCACUUUAUUGCUCACCCCUAAGGACAUCAUUCCUGUUGACCUAAACUAGUACAUCUAUUUGCAGUAGGAAAAGUGCUUUUGGAGAAAAUCACCUGUCUCCUCAGAACUGGUCUUACAAGUCUGUGAAGUAACACUAUGUGCCAGCCUAAUCACUCAUAUAUGACCUCAAGAGAACACCAAAUAAGCAUAUUUCCAGCAGGAAAUGACCAGUGCUUUGGUUAAGAAUGCACAUUAUACUGCAGUUCUUUGGGGAAUGAAGCCACCCUUGACUGAGGUAUUAUGCCAACUCUCACCCUGUGAAUCCACUGACUGGGGAACAUUGUUUAAGAAAAUCACAUGGCUGUGCCAACAAGCAAGGAGACACGGCACAGAAGACAGAGGCAGAAGCAGCUUUAUUGAAAAACAGAGCAUGAGUAGAACGACUUCAAAUCCCAUAUGGCACCACAGUGAGAAGUAACUUCCUCUGAGCUUCUUAGAGAAUCCAACAAUGUCCUGCUUCCUUGGGGAGCUGCAGCCAUGGGCACAUGGGAAUAGGGCUUCCACCAAGAGUCCCGUCAGUCACAGCAACAGGAGGUCUUCCUCAGACAACUUUGAUGAUAGUGGUUGUUAGCCAGAGCAAGCUAGAACCAGAAAGAAAAACUAUGAAGAUGCCACAGUGGGAGUCUGAGCACCUUGAGGCCUCCUGUUGGAAACUGGCAAACCUAACUGUGGGACACUUGGAUGCUGAGUUCUGGUAAACAUGCUGUCGGAGGCACGGUAAUUUAGUCAUUAACAUUUAAAAACGAUCUAAUUCUAUAUACAUACUCUGUUGAAGACUUCUUCCAACCACCUUGUAUUAUAAAUUUAAAAUAUGAAAUACAAACUCUUUAUGUGUCUUGACUCAGAUUACCUAGGAAGGGACAGUGACCUAUUCAUCAAUGUUUAGAAUUAGAGUAAGUUAUAGAAUAUAGUCUGAGAAAAUUACUUGGACCAAGAAAGCAAUGUCCCUGACAUUCAUCAAUCUAGAACCAGAGCUGCAGAUUAAGCUAGGUGCAAAUUUAUCAGAAAACAAUAUUUUUCCCAAAUACAUAUUGCAGCCAUAAAAUGCCCUAAAAACCCAGUUCUUAGAGGGACUAUUGCUUACUUACUGAGAAAUUGUAUUCUCUGAAAUCAUAGACUAUGAGAUGCAUUGCUGUUUAAAAUUAUUGCAAUAAGAAUGAAACAUCUCACUCUUAUCUGGAGGAGUUAAGUCAUUGUGAUCAGUGAAGCCUUGAUUUAAGCUCCUGUGCAAAGCUUCAGAGAAUGGGUCUCAGGACACAACAUUUGACAUCUAUUUUGACUUCAUUUCCAAGAAAAUAGGACUGCUAUGGUUUGAAUGUUUGUCUCCCUCAAACCAAGGUGUCGGAGGUGGGGCCUAAUGGGAGACGUUUGGGUUAUCAGGGAGGGUCCCUCAUGAAUAGAUUAAUGCUCUCCCUGGGGGUAGGGAACAGUUAGUGAGUUCUUGCUUUAUUCAUUCUCAAGAGAGCUGGUUGUUAAAUAGAGCCUGGCGCCUCCCUCCUCCCUCCUUGCUUUCUCUCUCACCGUAUGAUCUUAGCACAUUACACCUCCCCUCACCUUCUGCCAUGAGUGGAAGCAGCCUGAGCCUCUCACCAGGAGCAGAUGCUGGUGCCAUGCUUCUUGUACAGCCCACAGAGCAGUGAGCCAAAUAAACCUCUUUUCCUUAGAGAUUGCGCAGCCUCAGAUGUUCCUCUAGAGCAACACAAAAUGGACUAAGACAAGAACCAUAGGUCCAUUUCACAGUACAGAGCUGAGGUUGACCCCUUUUAUACACAACCAUACUUUCUUAGAGCCCAUAGAAUAUCAUUUCAUUUACAUCACACCUAAAUUCCACUCUUUAGCAAAAUCUUAUGUUAACCCUAUAUUUUCCUUUGUUUGAUGAGAUACCCCACAAUUGCUCUGUUGUGCAGUCCCCACACUGCAAUGAGUCAGUAAACUCAAUUGGUUUGUUUACAGGUUGUCCCUGGUGGUUUUAGGCUGAUUGGGCUAAGACAAACCACAUCUUAUUUUUUAAAUGUCUCCUUUAAGCAAAUGUUAUUAUCUGUAUUUUACUCUAUUCCAUAAGCAGAAGUGACAAAGUAGUCUAAUUUUACCAAAAGAUGCUUAUAGCAUAAAACUUUCUAUGCUGUAAACAUAGAAAGUACUUG
rnacentral:lncRNA from 10 species